rnacentral:lncRNA from 1 species
AGGGAGACCGGGCCGGAUUGCGGGGAGUGAGCAGGUUCAGCAGUGACGGCAUUCUUAAGAGUCCUGCCCAAUGCAUCUGAUUGCCAGCCUCGCUGGACCGUUGAGAGGAUUCAUCGAGACCCUGGAUAUGAAUAUGCAGUGUGAACUGAAGUUUGGGGACAUGAGUAAUCAGUCACAGUGGCCCAAGAUUUGAGGUGUAAAUGGAGAAGUCAGAAUGAUUCGCUGCAGCUGUCUGGAACAGGCUAUACAGGACGUGUGGUCCUGGCAGCUGCUUCUGGCGAGGGCUUCAGGAAGCUUACAAUCAUGGUGAAAGGUAAAGGGGUAGUUGGCAUAUCUCAUGGUGGGGGGAAAAGACUGGCAGGAGGUGACACGCUUUUUUGUUUGUUUGUUUGUUUAGAUGGAGUCUUGCUCUGUUGCCAGGCUGGAGUGCAGUGGCACAAUCUCGGUUCACUGCAACCUCUGCAUCCCAGGUUCAAGUGAUUCUCCUGCCUCAGCCUCCCAAGUAGCUGGGACUACAGGCGCCCGCCACCACGCCCAGCUAAUUUUUGUAUUUUUAGUAGAGACCAGGUUACACUGUGUUGGCCAGGAUGGUCUUGAUCUCGACCUUGUAAUCCGCCCGCCUCGCCCUCCCAAAGUGUUGGGAUUACAGGCAUGAGCCACCACGCUCAGCCUGACAUGCUCUUUUAAACAACUAGAUCUCAUGUGAACUCAGCGAGAUCUCACUCAUUACCUCGAGGAUGGCACCAAGCCAUUCAUGAAGGAUCCACCCCCAUGAUCCAAAUGCCUCCCACCAAGCCCUGUCUCCAGC